rnacentral:pre_miRNA from 1 species
AACCUCCACAGGUUGGCUGGCCCCCAGGCUGGGCUGGAUGAGUAUCUCUUUGAGAGGCUCACCCUCAAGGAUGACUAGGAGC